rnacentral:rRNA from 1 species
AUGAAACAACAACAGCAGCAAAUCACUCUUGAAAUACCACAGAGAAAGAUAAGGAAAAGCUCAGAUUUCCUUGCUCGCAGCUUACAUGACUCAAUUAUUCACAUAUCGAAUCAAAGUGGUAAGAAGAAAAAAAAAAGAAGAAGGAAAGAAAGUAAGAAAAAAAAAUGGCAAGAAUUAUCCAUUUCUAACAAAGAGAGAACACCACGAGAUCAUCGGAAGACGGACCGGAGCGGAGCGGGGGCAAGCGCUUUUCUCGUUCCUUUUCCCAGUUCCCCUCCCACGAAUCCUUGCUCUCGUCGUCGUGGAGCUAGAGGCGGAGCAGCGUGUCGUACCGGCAGGUCAUCUGAUCGGCCUCGGCGUCAAGCGCCCCCUCCUGCGGGGGCGGCAUGUUCAGAUCGAAGGGCAGCGGGGAGCGGGAGGCGGCCGCGUCGUCCGCGCCCUCCUCGAGGAGGACGGAGGACGAGGAGCCGCAGUAGCUGCGGCAGUCCUCCUCCCCCUCCUUGGCCGUGCCCGCUCGGGCGGCGCUGCGGGCCCUGGCGGGGGCGCGGGGCCCGCCGCCGCUCCAGGACUCGACGGUGCUGCUCUGGCUGGACGUGGCGGCCGCGGCCGCGGCCGCGGGGGGAGGGGGCCUCGGCGGCGGCUGCGUGGCGGAGGAGGGCGGGAAGUUGGUGCGGGCGGUGGGCCCGCGGAGGGAUCGGGCGGCGGAGUCGUAGGCGCGGGCGGCGUCCUCGGCGCAGUCGAAGGUGCCGAGCCAGAUCGGCGUCUUCUUGGCGGGGUCCCGGAUCUCGGCGGCGUAGCGGCCCGAGGGGCGCUUCCGCACGCCGCGGUACCGGAUCUCCGGCGACUGCUGCGACGGCUGCGGCUGGGGCUGCGGCGGCCUCGCCUUGCGCAUCGCGGCCGGCCUAG